ACCAUAAAUGACUCUCGGCAACGGAUAUCUCGGCUCCACGCAUCGAUGAAGAACGUAGCAAAAUGCGAUACUUGGUGUGAAUUGCAGAAUCCCGUGAACCAUCGAGUUUUUGAACGCAAGUUGCGCUCGAAACCUUCAGGUUGAGGGCACGCCUGCCUGGGCGUCACGC
rnacentral:rRNA from 1 species